UUGGAGGGCAAAAAAGACGUUAUUUUCCGCUGCCUGACAACCAGGAAGCAAGUGAUACACUCGCGUUGCCAAAAUGCUGGAUGGAUUUUGUGCUUUCGGAUACACUAAUUGAGGAGGAGACAAGCCUGGGCUGUGUUAGAGCUAAAGGCUGUGUUGAAGCUGCAGAUCUUCAUGUUCUUUGUCAGACUGCCAAUAAGG